rnacentral:sRNA from 2 species
CGCUGAGUUCCGGACUCCUCCACCUCCGUGGGGGAGCCCGGAAGCCGGGGAACCAACUCACCUGGGGUGAAUCCCUCGCAAGGCGGAGGCACGCACCGUGGCCACCGCGGAGCGGGGGUAGGGCAAACGUUGUGCCCGAACCCGUCAGCUCACCCGGUAGGCGUA